AUUGAACGCUGGCGGCAGGCCUAACACAUGCAAGUCGAGCGAGCGGCGGACGGGUGAGUAAUGUAUGGGGACUGCCCGCUAGAGGGGGAUAACUACUGGAAACGGUAGCUAAUACCGCAUACUAUCGGAUAACCCAUAUGGGAUUAGCUAGUAGGUGAGGUAAUGGCUCACCGAGGCGACGAUCCCUAGCUGGUCUGAGAGGAUGAUCAGCAACACGGGGACUGGGAAACGGCCUAGACUUCGACGGAGGCAGAAGUGGGGAAUCUUGCACAAUGAGCGCAAGGCUGAGGCAGCCAGGCGGCGUGUAGGAAGAAGGCCCGAGGGUUGUAAAGUACUUUAAGUCGGGAGGCGUUACCGACAGAAGAAGCACCGGCUAACUCCGUGCCAGCAGCCGCGGUAAUAC
rnacentral:rRNA from 1 species